UACAGAGGUCUCAAGCGUUGUUCGGAUUCAUUGGGCGUAAAGGGUGCGUAGGCGGCGAGGUAAGUCAGAUGUGAAAUCCCGGAGCUUAACUCCGGAACUGCAUUUGAUACUGCUUUGCUUGAGGACUGGAGAGGAGAUCGGAAUUCACGGUGUAGCAGUGAAAUGCGUAGAUAUCGUGAGGAAGGCCAGUGGCGAAGGCGGAUCUCUGGACAGUUCCUGACGCUGAGGCACGAAGGCCAGGGGAGCAAACAGG
rnacentral:rRNA from 1 species